rnacentral:rRNA from 1 species
AUGAACGCUAGCGAUAGGCUUAACACAUGCAAGUCGAGGGGCAGCACAAGGUAGCUUGCUAUCUGGGUGGCGACCGGCGCACGGGUGCGUAACGCGUAUGCAACUUGCCCUAUACAGGAGGAUAACCCGUCGAAAGACGGACUAAUACUGCGUAUGCUCACAACUUGGCAUCAAGUGGUGAGGAAAGAAAUUCGGUAUAGGAUAGGCAUGCGUCCCAUUAGCUUGUUGGUGAGGUAACGGCUCACCAAGGCAACGAUGGGUAGGGGAACUGAGAGGUUUAUCCCCCACACUGGUACUGAGACAUGGACCAGACUCCUACGGGAGGCAGCAGUGAGGAAUAUUGGUCAAUGGGCGCGAGCCUGAACCAGCCAAGUCGCGUGAAGGAUGACUGUCUUAUGGAUUGUAAACUUCUUUUAUACGGGAAUAACAAGAGUCACGUGUGACUCCCUGCAUGUACCGUAUGAAUAAGCAUCGGCUAACUCCGUG